rnacentral:siRNA from 1 species
CUAAACACUACGACUUCUAAUGGG